ensembl:lncRNA
UCUGAUAACAGCUCCCCAGAAACAGGAUCUCUGCUCUUUGGGAGAAACAAAGCCCAUCUUUCUUGAGGUGCAGAAAGUAGUAGACGUUCCUCCCCAGGGUCCCCGCCUGCCGGUGUCACACACCCCAUCCCGUCUACUCACAGGCAGGGCUUCCGAAGGAGCAAGAAGAACAGCUGCUGAGACACAAUAGUUCCUUACAGAGCCGGUUGCCUGGUGGAGAAGAAGAUACUGAAUGUACCCAUGAUGGGUUAAUGGCAGCUGGAAGGAGACUGCUAUCGCUGCAGGAAUAGCCCUGAAGGAAAAAGAGAAGCCCAUCAGGCAGAACUGCAAGUGACACAGCUGAUUUCCUACCUUCCCUGAAAGGAAGCACAUCUCGUGAGGAGUAUUAACUGGUAAAAAUUCAAUAUACCAGUGUGUAUUGCCUGCUCUCUCAAGAGAGGACCUCAGGCUGGAGGUAGCCAACCUGUGGAAGAGUUAAAAAGAAAUUCUGCAUCAUUCAGUUGCUGCGUAAGAAAUGACUAAUUCACUAUGAUCUUGAGGCCGUGCAGACUGACCUAUAAUCUUAGAAUUACUAAGCCAUUAUGAAAGGUUUUCUAUUAGGACGCACGGGGGGAAGAAGAGGCUGCUGUCCUGGCGUGUCCCCCGGUCUGGAGCUGUCAUCUCUGAUGUUUUGAACCAGCUGCCUUUGAGUUGUUGUAUAAUUGGUCCAGAAAGAGACCAGAUGCCAUCUAAGAAGUCUGACCACGCUGAGGCCACCAUGCUGUAGGGAAGCCCAAGAGAGCCGGGCUUCCUGUGGCGAGAGAGGGGCUGUGUGGAAGUUCACGGAGGUGCCUAGCAUACACUCUCAUUAGAUCGAAGACUCCUGAUUGCAUAGCCUGUUCAGCUGACACCAAGAGUCCCAGGAACCUGCUCCCUGACCUGCAUAAGGUAGCGGUUCCAGCUCCCCGUCCUGACUGAAUGGGACAUCCAGCCAGGUUUUCCCCCUUUGGAGUGCCGUCUUCCUCCUAAGAAGCUGAGUGAUUCUUCAAAAGGUCAGAGAGAGAACACUCUUGCUGGGUCAGUCAGGUGUCCAGGCCUUCCCUCCUCUGUGCUGCUUGUAGACAACCCCCACCCAGUCUCGACUAGACUUUGGUGAGUGACGAAGACCUCUUCUGGUGAAAGUUGUUGUGAUUACGAACUCCAGAGCUAUAAAUGGCUUUCCUCACCAGUGUAGCAAAGAUAGACAGAAUUUGAGUGAGAAAGAGAGGAGAGAGUGGGGGUUAGUUUGUGGCGUUCCCAGUAAGUGUGUGUCUUUGUGAAAACCAAGUAGUAUCUGAGUUGUAGAUAUAGAGUUGAACACUGAUUCUGCGCUUGAACUAUGUAUUUUGAAUUACUGCAUACAGAGACCAAGAAUGUUCUGCAGUUGAUAUAAAAAUACCCAUUCCCACACAGGCAAAUGUGGGAGAGGGAACCAUAUGGAAGCUGAGAAGGAAUGACCAUAUUUCAGAGAAGUAAAUGAGUGCAAGGAAAAAAUGCAGAUGAAGUCAGGACAUAGACAUUUUUCUUAACCUCAGACGCUAGCAUUCCCCAGUUGCUUUGUAGGAAGCAGUAGAAGCUUGUUUUAAAUAAUUAUUCUCAUCUAAUAUUAUUGUGAAUUUAUGUUACUCAGUAUUAUAAAUCUGUGUAUUAUGAUCAUACUCCAUUCAAUAUCUAUUGCCGUGUAAUAAAUUAUCCCAAGAU